rnacentral:lncRNA from 1 species
AAUUUUUGAAAAAAAAUUUUAAAAUCAAAAUUAAAAUAAUCGUACUGUAGGCACGGGUUAUCACUAGUAUAGUAUAUUACAAUGAAUGCCUUACAAAAAAAUAUAUAUAUUACAAGGAAUGAUUAAUCAAAAUAAAUAAAUAAUUUAUCAUAAGAAUUUCCGGCCAAACAUUACACUAGAGUAGUGUUAAAAAAUAUCAUUAAACAAUCAAUCUGCUACACACCCAAUCAAAGGGCACACUUUCCUUGGUCUUCUUCGUUACGCUAUGAUCUAUUACAAAUAACAAUAACAUAAGUAUGAAAAAGUGGGGUACAGUUGCUUAAAUGUUGAAUUCGUUCAUAUUAGUAGGGAUGUGUUACCUGCCCGCUGCCAAUUUCCAUAAGCAAAACCCUAAAGUUGAAAACUUCUGAUUUGCUUAGAAUAAUCCAUCCAAAGUACUUUGGAGCCAUGUAACCACUGCAGUUUAAUAAGCAUUGGUCAGUUUCCCACCAAAAAAUUUAUAAAUAUGUUUUCUUGUUAUAUUUAUCAAGAGAAUAAAGAGAGUGAACACCAAACUACACUUUGCAUUUCAAUACUGUUUAUAUCCUAGAAAAGCAAUCAGAAAAACAGUAUAACAUAGAAAAUGAACCUUUCCAGGCCUCCAUAGAUUGAUAGCUCGCAAAAUGGUCAUGAGAAGCAGUAUCAUUUUCCUAGUCAUGGUCUUCACUGUUCAACAAACAAUUGAAACAGUAUAAACAGAAAAAAAAAUAGAAUAAAUUCCUAUUAAUAAUUAUAAAUGACCAAAACAAGAGAAACAAACUCCGAAAGAAGGCUUCAAACCAUCUUGAGUCACAUACGUCAUUGUACCAAGCGAAAACAAGUUAUGUCUUGCAGAAAACUAAUUUACUCGACACAGUAAAGAAAGAUCCAGUUUUGCUAAGAGUUUAUUGCAGAAAACAAGUAUAUUUUGUUUGACAGGCCGCAAGCUCCAAGUUUCUCAACAGCACGAUGGUUUAAAACCUAAGUUAAUGUGGGAUUCGAGGGAAUUUACAACAGGUAACAAUAUUUACGACUAAUACCCCAGAGAAUUAGUGCCAUACCUAUUGUGGUAUCCUUGGCGUCCAUACUAUGAAGCCUGGGAACAAUAUACCUGCGAGAAGCGCACAAAUGUAUACAAAUGUGUAGGUCAGGGUCAUUCAAUGGAAAUUGUUAGAAAGAAGUCUUUAUCAUCCAAGUCAGAUCAUACAAUUACUAAAUCUCUUAGGCAACAACAAUAUGCUUGCGACAAGCGCACAAGUAAGACCAGUGAAUUUCCAUUUUGUAAUUAUCUUUGCUUUACACUGUCCGUGUGAAAGACCUUGUGGGACGGCUUACUCUUCAAGAGAAAGUUCAGCAACUAGUUGAUGCAGACCAACGGAGAGUUUAUAGUAGAGAAAUCAGACUUGGACACAUCUAUCAAGUUCAUAGUUUAGAAAAAUUAAUCAUCUGACUAUACUACCCUUUACAUUUAAAAUAGUGAAAGAGAACAAAUUAGCUCUUGAUAUUUACAACAUAAUCUAUGUUUAAACUUCAAAAUUACAGAGUUUUAUCAGCAUAAACUAUACCCUAAACUGGACAAUGUGGCCACUUUCCAUUUACAAUAGGCCAAGUACUCAAGUUCAAUGAUCAAACUAUUAAUCAGACCACUCAUUCCAUUGAACAAUUGAAACUUUUGAUUGAAUGUUCAUGGAUUUUAUUUUAUUUUGAAAGAAAAAAUGAAGGAAAAAAAAAAAAAAAAAUUAGCUAGCUAGCUAUACCACUACUUAUGUUGAACAAUGAGUUGUGUGUAAUGUGGACUUCACAACUAGUGUAGACUGUAGAGAAUACUCUUGCUGUCUAGCAUACAUAUUGAUAUUACAAAAAUUGAAAAAAACAAAAUUGAAAUUCCCCAUGGUUCCAAACAUUAAAUCAUUCAAAUAUACAAACGUCUAAUGAUUCAGGGCAAUAAAACGUAUGGUAAUUUAAUAUCAAAAGAAGAAAUUCUAAGAAUUUCAAACCUUGAAUGUUUAGUUCCUUGCCACUCAGAGCAAAACUUGUUCAAAUAGAUUGAGAGAGUAGUUGAGAUUGAGCAAAACUUGUUCAAAUAGAUCGAGAGAGUAGUCGAGAUUGAGCAGCAAAAUCGAUCCACUCUUCAACAGUACCGAAACCCUUAAUUUUAUGCAGGGAUAAAAAUGGACAUCGUUAAGAGUCUGAAAUAGA